UACGUAGGGUGCGAGCGUUGUUCGGAAUUACUGGGCGUAAAGGGCGCGUAGGCGGGUUUGCAAGUCGAUUGUGAAAUCCCAGGGCUUAACCCUGGAAUUGCAGUCGAAACUGCAAGUCUUGAAUGUCUGAGAGGGUGGGAGAAUUCCUGGUGUAGUAGUGAAAUACGUAGAUAUCAGGAGGAAUACCGGCGGCGAAGGCGCCUACCUGGCAGUACAUUGACGCUGGAGGCGCGAAAGCGUGGGGAGCAAACAGG
rnacentral:rRNA from 1 species